GACAGUACAGUUUAGAGAAGAGAAGAAAGUUGAGUAUGGGAAGUGUUCUGUUUUUGCUCCUUCAUUCAAAUCAUUAGCCUCAGUCGCAGGCCAGAAACUUUCCACUUGCAAUUUUACAAAUCUGUACUGCAAGAUUCACAGUUAAAAAUAAUAGAAGCAUCAGAUUUUUUAGGGGCAGUGCACAUGGUCUACUCAGAGUUGUAGAGCAAAGAAGGAGCAAAGAAGAGCCAUGGGACUUAGACACAGCCUUUUCCAGAGAUAGCUGGUGCAGAUAAAAUUAAGCAUUUCAGUCAGUAGCUAUGGACCUAACCCAAAGACUGUUAGUGGGAUGGCUUACUGCACAAUUCCGUCGAAAGGAAAAAUUGUAUGGGAUUAUACGCACAAGGCAAAGUAUUAGUUUCAUUGCUACCAAAGACUUUCUAGUUAAAUACAGGAAUAAACUACAGUUUCUCAGAUAUUGGAGAUCCUGAAGAUCAAGGGAUAGAAGCCCAAGGAAGCAGGCCCUAUUCAGCUGCAGUUCUGUGUCUCUUUUCACAUGACCCAUUGGUCAAUUUCAAGCCAACUUCACAAAGAGAGCAGGACGACUUGCAGAGUGCUUAAAAAAUUAUGAAGUUGAGCAGAUGAGUAAUCAAGUAUGAUAAAUGCUUCAUUCAAAGCUUCAGUAUGAAGAUGCACUUCAGUAUGAAGCUGUUACAAAAGAAGAUCAUAGAACACAGCUUCCAUACUUAACCCAAAUGUAGGAAAGCCUUAGCUGGAGCAUGUUUAUUAUUAGCCAUCAGAAAAUCAGCUGGGAUUGCUGGAACACCACCUCAGACUGAGAUGAGAAUAGGCAUAAAUCAAUGCAACCCUACAAAGGUCUGUAGCCACUUGAUGGAGGCACUUACAAGGCACCUAUUGCACCCUUGUUCCCCUUUUCAUUCCAGAUUGAUGGUGCAGUGACAUAAUAUUGCUGGGCCUCCUAAAUACUGAUCCUAUGUAGAGACGACCUACUCCUCUGUCCCACUCUGAAAUUUUUCCUUCUACUGACAGGAUUCAGC